rnacentral:rRNA from 1 species
GAGUUUGAUCAUGGCUCCAGGACGAACGCUGGCGGCGUGCUUAACACAUGCAAGUCGAGCGGAAAGGCCCCUUCGGGGGUACUCGAGCGGCGAACGGGUGAGUAACACGUGGGUAAUCUGCCCAAGACACAGGAAUAACCAGUGGAAACGCUGGCUAAUGCCUGAUGAUGUGCCGGCCUUUCGGGGCUUGUACCAAAGGUAGCUUCGGCCUCCGGUCUUGGACUGAGCCCGCGUCCCAUUAGCUUGUUCGGUGAGGUAACGGCUCACCAA